UAAAUCGUUUAACGAGUAUCAAUUGGAGGGCAAGUCUGGUGCCAGCAGCCGCGGUAAUUCCAGCUCCAAUAGCGUAUAUUAAAGUUGCUGCAGUUAAAAAGCUCGUAGUUGGAUCUGGGGCUUGAGGUCGCUGUCUAUCGUUUCGGCGAUGACGGUGAUGCUCAGCUCUGCUUGCCGGUGACUGUUGCGGUGUUCUUCACUGAGCGCUGUAGCAGCACGGCACGUUUACUUUGAAAAAAUUAGAGUGCUCAAAGCGUGCUUGUCGCUUGAAUAAUGUUGCAUGGAAUAAUGGAAUAGGACCUCGGUUCUAUUUUGUUGGUUUUCGGAGCUUGAGGUAAUGAUUAAGAGGGACGAACGGGGGCAUUCGUAUUGCGGUGUUAGAGGUGAAAUUCUUGGAUCGCCGCAAGACGGACUACUGCGAAAGCAUUUGCCAAGAACGCUUUCAUUAAUUAAGAACGAAAGUCAGAGGUUCGAAGACGAUCAGACACCGUCCUAGUUCUGACCAUAAACGAUGCCGACCAGCGAUCCGUAGUGGUUGCUUUAUGGACCCUACGGGCAGCCUCCGGGAAACCAAAGUAUUUGGGUUCCGGGGGAAGUAUGGUUGCAAAGCUGAAACUUAAAGGAAUUGACGGAAGGGCACACCAGGAGUGGAGCCUGCGGCUUAAUUUGACCAACACGGGAAAACUCACCCGGUCCGGACACCGUAAGGAUUGACAGACUGAUAGCUCUUUCUUGAUUCGGUGGAUGGUGGUGCAUGGCCGUUCUUAGUUGGUGGAGUGAUUUGUCUGGUUAAUUCCGAUAACGAACGAGACUCUAGCCUGCUAAGUAGUGUUGCUAUUGUUAUAUGGUUGACACUUCUUAGAGGGACAAGUGGCAUUUAGCCACGCGAAAUUGAGCAAUAACAGGUCUGUGAUGCCCUUAGAUGUCCGGGGCCGCACGCGCGCUACACUGGAGAAGUCAGCGUGUGUUAUCCAAGUCCGAAAGGACUGGGUAAUCCGUUGAACCUUCUUCGUGCUUGGGACUGUGGCUUGGAACUAUUCCACAUGAACGAGGAAUUCCUAGUAAUUGCAAGUCAUAAGCUUGCGUUGAUUACGUCCCUGCCCUUUGUACACACCGCCCGUCGCUACUACCGAUUGAAUGGUUUAGCAAGGUCCUCGGAUCGUGGCCGUAGGGGCACGCAAGUGUUUCUGCGGUUUGCGAGAAGACGACCAAACUUGAUCAUUUAGA
rnacentral:rRNA from 1 species